GCCAGAUGAUGACUUGAUAUGAGCUGCAUUAGCAUUCUGUGCAAAGAUGACUAGUUAUCUAUCACCCAUGGCUGAUGGCU
ensembl:snoRNA SNORD83 Small nucleolar RNA SNORD83